rnacentral:tRNA from 1 species
GCGGGUAUGGCGGAACAGAAGACGCGCUAGGUUCAGAACCUAGUGGGCAAAUCGCCCGUGGGGGUGCAAAUCCUCCUGCCCGCA